rnacentral:rRNA from 1 species
AUUGAACGCUGGCGGCAUGCCUUACACAUGCGAGUCGAACGGCAGCACGGGGGGUAACCCCUGGUGGCGAGUGGCGAACGGGUGAGUAAUAUAUCGGAACGUGUCCUGUAGCGGGGGAUAACCUAUCGAAAGAUGGACUAAUACCGCAUACGACCUACGGGUGAAAGCGGAGGACCGCAAGGCUUCGCACUAUAGGAGCGGCCGAUAUCGGAUUAGCUAGUUGGCGGGGUAACGGCCCACCAAGGCGACGAUCCGUAGCUGGUCUGAGAGGACGAUCAGCCACACUGGAACUGAGACACGGUCCAGACUCCUACGGGAGGCAGCAGUGGGGAAUUUUGGACAAUGGGCGCAAGCCUGAUCCAGCCAUGCCGCGUGAGUGAAGAAGGCCUUCGGGUUGUAAAGCUCUUUCGGCGGGGACGAAACGGUUCGUGCUAAUACCACGGACUACUGACGGUACCCGCAGAAGAAGCACCGGCUAACUACGUG